rnacentral:rRNA from 1 species
AGAGUUUGAUUAUGGCUCAGGAUGAACGCUGGCGGCGUGCUUAACACAUGCAAGUCGAACGGAGUUUAGAUGAAGCUUGCAAUUCUAAACUAGUGGCGGACGGGUGAGUAACGCGUGGGUAACCUGCCUUAUACCGGGGGAUAACACUUAGAAAUAGGUGCUAAUACCGCAUAAGCGCACGGAGCUGCAUGGCUCAGUGUGAAAAACUCCGGUGGUAUAAGAUGGACCCGCGUCUGAUUAGCUAGUUGGUGAGGUAACGGCCCACCAAGGCGACGAUCAGUAGCCGGCCUGAGAGGGUGAACGGCCACAUUGGGACUGAGACACGGCCCAAACUCCUACGGGAGGCAGCAGUGGGGAAUAUUGGACAAUGGGGGAAACCCUGAUCCCAGCGACGCCGCGUGAGUGAAGAAGUAUUUCGGUAUGUAAAGCUCUAUCAGCAGGGAAGAUAAUGACGGUACCUGACUAAGAAGCCCCGGCUAACUACGUGCCAGCCGCAGC